rnacentral:lncRNA from 1 species
AAGUCUAAAGCAUCACUCUUUCAAAAUUAAUUUUGCUCUAUUCAUCUUGUAUCUGUCUGUUAUGAUUUUAAUUUUCUGGUAUGAUUCUCUCUCAAUUCUUGGUCAAACCUUCUUCUUUUUUCUCUCUGAAAUCUUCUUUUCGUUCUUUUAUUUUUUGAGAUCUCUUAAUAGUUACCAAUUUCAUGGAGGAAUGUUCUUGCCUGCUGUUGUUUUUGUAGAGACAGAACAAACUAUCAACACCUCUGCUAAUUGUUUAAUGAUGAAGUGGGUUUCUAUUUAACUAUUUGGACUUAUAAUUAGCACUGCUGCAUAUAUUUAUGACUUACAGGUAAGUGUUCCCUAUCUGGGAAUUUUUUCUUUUUCUCUUCGAAUUUCACAGGUUAUAUUUGCACCGCUAAGUGCAAUAGAAGUUUUUGAUGUUUAUUCUAGAUUUACUUGUGCAUUUAGCUCUUUUCUUAACUGAUUCUACUUAUGCAUGUUUUAUUUUGAAUAUUUGGUGCCAAAUUUCUCUCAAAGAUAUUCUUGAGAGAUCAGAACAUUUUAGAAAUCCGAGCGGUCUACAAUGAGGUAUUGUUCUUGAGAUUUUUCCCUUUUAUCCUUCGCCCCCCAUUGCCGCUGGCCUCAAUGGAAAAAAUAGAAGGAAUUUAUUAAAGUCAACUGUAGUAUUUCUUGAGCCUUUGGCUCUUUUUUAAACUGAUUUUGCACAUGCUUAUGCUCGUUGACUAUUUUCUGUCAAUUUGUUAGCCAUCAAUGGUACUAAAGGAACUCAAUGGGAAUAGAAAAAGGCUCUGUGAACUAAACUCUCAAACAUCAGUAAUGCAUUUAUGUUCUAUCAAUUAUUCUGAUUGUUUUUUAUGGUAAUGUCUUCUUUGUUCUCCUGAGCAGAGAUUGGCAUUUUUGACUAUGUCGUUUUUUGGUUUUGGCAUAUUAUGGUCGAUAAAUUUAACGCACUACAUAAUAAUAUGAAUUUAAAAUGGAUAUUUAUUUUUGCUCAAUUAUGUCAAACUUUAAUUAAUCCUCUUUUUUUAAUGAAAAAAUAAAGUUAUACUCUUUAAAUUGAUUUUUUGCUGUGGAUGGAGGAAUUAAUUACUUAAAUGGUCAGCUAAGUCAUGGAAAUAAUGUAGCAAAGUCACUUUUAUAUUUAGGAGAGAUUUAUUUUUCAUAUUGUGCUUGUUCACUAAAAAGCACGUCAAUAGCAUGGUUGUGAACUUCUGAUCCUUAUAUAUGUCAAUAACUAACUAAUCACACUGAUUAUGACAGGAUGGUUGAAGAAGCUAAGAUGUACUACACCAAAGUUUCAUAAAGUCCUCCUUGAAAAUGAUUUUGUUGGAUCAUAACAAGAAAUCUAACAUAUCAUUGCAUAUAUGCUAUAUAUCAUUAUAUCUCAAAGGCCAAAGCUGAGAUUAGAAUGAUGAGAUUACUGAUUGAAUUUUUGGUAUCAAACAAAACUAACAAGUACUUAUUUUUAGCUUGAAAUUCAGAAGCGCUAAACUUCACGAGCACACAGGAUAAACAGAAUAAGGUCCUCGAGAAUUCUAGGAGUUAUCAAAGAUUGAUUAGCAAAAUUGUUUAUAGCCACAGGGUACAAUUAUGAUGUUGGGUAUUAGAUUAUUACAUAGUAUAUGAUAAUUGACAUGAGGUUGUUCCCCUAUGUUCAGUUAAGUUGAAGUAGAUGUGAUGAUAUAAUUCAUGUCUGUAAAAGAAAAAAAAGUUAAGUUGAAGUGAUGUAGUAGUGCAAAAGAUAUAUUUAUUUUUUCCAUCUUUCAACUGUAGCUUUUUUCCAAAGAGCUAAAAUGCAUGGCCUGUCAAAUGAUGGAAGCUCUCUUUCUUGAGAAGUUGCAAAGAAAGAUGAAAUGAGACCACCAACACUAGACAUUUUUUCAUCUCAACUCAUGCUUAUUAGUCGUUGAUGUUGGUUUAAACUAGCUACUCUUGGAAGAGGUAAUGUUAUGCUAAUUGUUAUACUCCAUCGUCUUACACAGAGUUGAUAUUUUAUAAUAAAUCGAUUUAAGUGAAAAUUGAGCUUUUGUUAGUUGUUUGGUUGUCUUCGAUAUGAUCCUUAUGUGUUCAAUGAUAUGCUAUAAAAAAGGGAUACAUAAAGAUCAAAUAGUUUCCUACCAAGCAAUGUUUCAAAUUAUAUGUCUACUUGAAAGUAGUUUUAAAUAUGCAAACUUGUGCAUAGCAGAUUCUUAUACCUUUUCUACAGCUCUUAAAGAAAUCAAAGACGAUGCUUCACAUAUUACGAUGAUACUGACCUUCCGUUACUAACGUCACAUCCUUUAGAAUGUUUAAGUAUUCUUGCUAUUAACAACUUUAGAUUUUUGUAAUUAUUAUUAUUAUUAUUAUUAUUAUUAUUAUUAUUAUUAUUAUUAUUAUUAUUAUUAUUAUUUCCUGUAUUAGGUAGACGAAUUAUGGAUUAGCUUCACAAGCUAUUAGUGGUUCCAAGAGAUAAUCUCAGCUAUCAUAGAUAUGUCAAACCCAAAAAUUAUAUUCCUUCUGCUUGUGAUCCUUAACCACCCAAAGCUGCAAAGAUAUUUUCAAUUCAAACUUUCAUUUUAAUAUUUCUUCUUUCAAGAUAUUAAAGUACAUUCCUUUUUUUCCGAUUUAUUCUUAAAAGUUCUUAUUGCUUUCAGUGUGGUGGCAGCGAGAAGAGAGCAGGAAGGGUACAAAUUUAGAGAAAGAAGUGCCAAAAGCACCAGAUCCACAGGUGAGACGUCUCUUUUACCAAUUAAAGAGAUUUAUGUGUUUAACUUCCCUUUUACUUAUAUACGUUAUGGGAUUUUAAUUUAAUUUGUUUGUCUGUUCGGUGUAUAUAUUGUUCUACUGGAAGAUCUGAAAAAUAUUGCAAUGAGUCAUUUUUAUCUUUGUUGAGUCCUUUUAUUAUUAUUAUUAUUAUUAUUAUUAUUAUUAUUAUUAUUAUUAUUAUUAUUAUGACAGAGACUCUUCUACAUGAUUGCAUUCACUUGCAUCAUUUAGAUCUUCACAUUCAAUCUGUCCAGCAAUUUGAGAUCAGUGGGGAUAGAUAUGCUUCCUGAAUGGUUCAAACACCCACCUUGAGACACUAUGAAACAUCCAUAGAUGAAACACCAAUUGUAAGCAAUGACAAACAACAUGGACAUUAAAAGGCAUUUUAUGUUCGAGUUUAUAGUGCUGGNN